rnacentral:tmRNA from 1 species
UGCCUACUCCCACGAGACAAAAAUAGGAACCUGUUGGCUCUAGCUCAUCAUGCCAGAAGAAAUAGAACUUAGGUCUCUGGGAAGAAACAGUAGUGGUGAGGUUGUGCUAAAUGGACCCUACCACUGUUCUGAAAAUUCCAGAUGUCCAGACUGUGAAAAGUUUUCAUAUCUGGCAUACUCCUUUCUUAUAUUCUUGACAGUACUGCUAUUUUCAGUGUAUCUACUUUUUGUGUGUCCAUUUGAAAUAAAACAUUUGUAUGGUACUUGGCAGAGUGGAGACUCUAUAUUGGCUGGAGAAGUGGGGCCCAUAUUGAACAGAACUGUUACUUCAAAAUCUUGUUGGAGGGGGCCCAGAUGUGAAAUGUUUAUUCCAAACAUCCCUAUUAUCCUGCCAAAUGAUACAAUUUAUCCAAAUUUUACAAAUUACAAUGGAAGCUAUGCUGAUUAUAGGACUACUCUUCAAGAAAUAAUUCAUACCAUCUUAUAUGAUCAAUGUAACGUCACUGUUUUGUUGCACACAUCCUUUGGGAAGACAUAUGGUAUGGAUGAUGUAUUUUUUAAAACAGUCAUGUAUAAACUCAUCACUUCAUUUUUGAUGGAGGGAAGUACCAUGUGUGAUCUGAAGACGGCAGCCAGGGAUGUUUAUGUCUUACACUCACUAUCCCACCUCCAUGAUGUUGGAAAGGGCUGUAAACUAAGACUUGAUAACAUUUAUGAUGAAUCUUCAGGGAGCCACUACAGUCGAGAGUGUGUAAAGCAGUUUGAUUGUAUGUUGUGUAUUUACCCCAAGUCUAUAAGUGUUUCCUUUAAUUAAAAACUACCACCCACUAUAUUUAAAAUUUGUACAAAUAAAAUGUGGUACGUGUCAGAAAAUUACACUAUGACAGAAACAACUACCAUCUCUGGACAAACAUCAUCUGGAUUUUCAUUUCAUGUGCCUAUCAUGGUCAUAGUGUUGAUUUUGCUGAUUAUUGGACUGUUGCUGUAUGGAGCAUAUAAGUGCUUUUUCUGGGUUAUGUACAAGCGGGCACAGAUAAUGGGGUUGCCAGCCCAAGCACUCUUGUCACGUGUAAAGGUGUAAAAAUCAUUGUACAAACUUGACUAAAUAAAGAUUAUUUUAUUGAAAAA